CUAAACGUUUGAGUGGCCGGACCGGCGCACGGGUGAGUAACACGUAUCCAACCUGCCUCAUACUCGGGGAUAGCCUUUCGAAAGAAAGAUUAAUACCCGAUGUUAUAGUCCUACCGCAUGAUGGGAUUAUUAAAGAAUUUCGGUAUGGGAUGGGGAUGCGUUCCAUUAGUUAGUUGGCGGGGUAACGGCCCACCAAGACAACGAUGGAUAGGGGUUCUGAGAGGAAGGUCCCCCACAUUGGAACUGAGACACGGUCCAAACUCCUACGGGAGGCAGCAG
rnacentral:rRNA from 1 species